rnacentral:tRNA from 1 species
GGUCCCGUAGUACAACGGAUAGUAUGCAGGUUUCCGGAACCUGAGAUUAAGGUUCGAUUCCUUACGGGACUACCA